UGAUCGUCUGAAUGCAGUGGUGUUUAGAACUAAUUGAUAACUACCAGUUACAGAUUUCUUUGUUCCUUCUCCACUGCAUCACUUGACUAGCCAAAA
rnacentral:Y_RNA from 1 species